GUCCUUGUAGCGCAGUGGUUAGCAUCUGGAGUUCUUAGCAUUUGAUUUUCUAAUUUUCUUUCCAGCGAAUACCUAAGGCAGCGGAAGACGUCGGUUCGAUUCCGACCGGGGACA